CUGUAACACCAUUAUUUUUGUAACUUAACAUUUCGUUUAUUGUUUACAUUCUGUUUGUUUACUUUGUUAGUCUUGUCAAGUAUCAGCUGUCAAAUUCGACACACAGGAUAGAUUUUCAGUUGUUGUCUGUGGUCCUUUGAGAAAACUCGUGCUAGAUCGUCAUCGGACAGUGGUCAGUGGCGACAUGACGCUCAGAACAAUGAUCGUGCUGACUGGCCACAGAGUAGUUUUGUGACGAUGAGCUGACAUCCCCGGUGACGGCUUUUUCGGAACUGGCAAGGAGGCAAACCAUUCUCUGUCAGAACGUCCCGAGUAAAUGUGUGGUUUUUUUUUUCUUCCCGCCCGCGUGGCGCAGGCCGUAUUGGUACCAAGUUCCUUGCUUCAUAUUUCCUGUUACCAGAUACGUGCCACAGACACCCACGCAGCAUCACACCAUGUGUACCUAACCUGAAUUGCCGACAAUUUCAAUCCUGCCCGGUGAAGCGUGCGAUUGCCAGACGCGUGUCACCUGACCCAACCCCAAGAAGGUGUCGUUGGUGACCAGAGCCGUCAGCGAGCCACGAGCCGUCCGGAGCUCCUGUCCUGGCCCCGUCCGACAGUCCAGGUUGGCCGUUGUAUGUUCGUUGAGCGGAUACUGAGGAAUUUCCUUAGGAUUUCUAUUAAUCUUCAGCGGCAUCAGCCUUCUAACGCCGCUGCUGAAUGUAGGAUUGCAAAGGCAGAACCCGGGUGGACUCUAGCGGGUUAAAACCUUUAUUUUAUUUUUUUUACUUCGUAGGGAGCCCCGUUAGAACGGGCAGUAGUAUCUAAAUUGCACUUUGAACCUUUUGUAGGCGCUAGGCUAUCAACGUCCUUCGGUUACGGGGCCUUAACGUUAAACUGCUAUCCCAUUGAAGUAAUAUAGAAGUUUCUCUGGGGUUAAUACCAUCUUUCUAUCCCUGUGGCGUGAAACACAGGGGUAGAACCUUUGGUUUCCCCACUUUAAUGUAAUUUCCUUGCCAUACCUUGUAUACUUCAACCAGACAAUUAUAAGGACUUAAUCCCUGGUCUCAUUUUAGACCUAUUUGAGUUAUAAAAUAUUGUGUGGGGCAGGGUUUUGAUAAAUAAAUAUUAAUAACUGUACCACAUUCUGAUAUUUUUAUUUUCCACCUCAUUGUAAUUUCACUACCCACUACACAGUGGAAAAUAGGCUUACAUUUGGCGCCCGAGCAGAGUUUAAUCCGUUAGCUUAUAGUCUAAUCUAUCGCUUAGACAGGCCUGAGUCCACCCGGGGGGGUAUUAAUUAGUGUGUAAUUAAUUAGUGUCUUAUAAUUUCUUGUGUGUGUUUUGUGUGUGUCAUCGAGA